rnacentral:rRNA from 1 species
UCCUACGGGAGGCAGCAGUGGGGAAUUUUCCGCAAUGGGCGAAAGCCUGACGGAGCAAUACCGCGUGAGGGAAGACUGCCUAUGGGUUGUAAACCUCUUUUUUCAGGGAGGAAUCAAUGACGUGUACCUGAAGAAUAAGCAUCGGCUAACUCCGUGCCAGCAGCCGCGGUAAGACGGAGGAUGCAAGUGUUAUCCGGAAUCACUGGGCGUAAAGCGUCUGUAGGUGGUUUAAUAAGUCAACUGUUAAAUCUUGAGGCUCAACUUCAAAAUCGCAGUCGAAACUAUUAGACUAGAGUAUAGUAGAGGUAAAGGGAAUUUCCAGUGGAGCGGUGAAAUGCGUAGAUAUUGGAAAGAACACCGAUGGCGAAAGCACUUUACUGGGCUAUUACUAACACUCAGAGACGAAAGCUAGGGUAACAAAUGGGAUUAGAUACCCCAAUAGUCCUAGCCGUAAACUAUGGAUACUAGAUGUUGAACAGAUCGACCUGUGCAGUAUCAAAGCUAACGCGUUAAGUAUCCCGCCUGGGAAGUAUGCUCGCAAGAGUGAAACUCA